ACUACGGGUGGCAGCAGUGGGGAAUAUUGCACAAUGGGCGAAAGCCUGAUGCAGCAACGCCGCGUGAGUGAUGAAGGCCUUCGGGUCGUAAAACUCUGUCCUCAAGGAAGAUAAUGACGGUACUUGAGGAGGAAGCCCCGGCUAACUACGUGCCAGCAGCCGCGGUAAUACGUAGGGGGCUAGCGUUAUCCGGAUUUACUGGGCGUAAGGGGUGCGUAGGCGGUCUUUCAAGUCAGGAGUGAAAGGCUACGGCUCAACCGUAGUAAGCUCUUGAAACUGGGAGACUUGAGUGCAGGGGAGGAGAGUGGAAUUCCUAGUGUAGCGGUGAAAUGCGUAGAUAUUAGGAGGAACACCAGUUGCGAAGGCGGCUCUCUGGACUGUAACUGACGCUGAGGCACGAAAGCGUGGGGAGCAAACAGGAUUAGAUACCCCUGUAGUC
rnacentral:rRNA from 1 species